rnacentral:tRNA from 1 species
GUCGCUGUCGUCCAAUGCAAGGACCCACCCUUCGUAACGGUGAGACGUGGGUUGGAUUCCCACCAGCGGCUCCA